UGGAUAGUGAAAUUAAGUUUAUAAAACAAGUGCAGCACUGGCAUCAGGAGAGUAAACGUUGGUAUUCUUCACUACUAAUGUGCCUCAACCCUGACUUGGUGGGACCACUUCUAAGGAUGAAAGGGUUAUACUGUACUGACCAUGUCACCU
rnacentral:sRNA from 1 species